rnacentral:rRNA from 1 species
GACGAACCGUGCGAACGUUGUUCGGAAUCACUGGGCUUAAAGGGCGCGUAGGCGGGCGGCCGCGUCCGGGGUGAAAUCCCACGGCUCAACCGUGGAACGGCCUCGGAUACGGGCGGCCUCGAGGGGGGUAGGGGCAUCUGGAACUGUGAGUGGAGCGGUGAAAUGCGUUGAUAUUCACAGGAACUCCGGUGGCGAAGGCGAGGUGCUGGACCCCAUCUCGACGCUGAGGCGCGAAAGCCAGGG